UACGUAGGGCGCAAGCGUUGUCCGGAAUUACUGGGCGUAAAGCGCACGUAGGCGGCUUUUUAAGUCAGGGGUGAAAUCCCGGGGCUCAACCCCGGAACUGCCCUUGAAACUGGAGAGCUAGAAUCUUGGAGAGGCGAGUGGAAUUCCGAGUGUAGAGGUGAAAUUCGUAGAUAUUCGGAAGAACACCAGUGGCGAAGGCGACUCGCUGGACAAGUAUUGACGCUGAGGUGCGAAAGCGUGGGGAGCAAACAGG
rnacentral:rRNA from 1 species